CUAAAUUAGAAUUUUCUACUUUAACUUCUAGGUUUUCUAACCUUCAGUCUUGUAUGCCAUUUCUUUAACUCUGCUUCAUUCCAUGUAAUUUCUUCAGAUUUCUCUUUCAAUCUACUAGAUAUACGUGCAGUCACAGUUCACAGAGACAGUGUAAAUUGUAGUAAUCAUCUUCAGAGCAUUUCCAAAUCCAUGAAGGAAAAAUGCUUACUCCCAUAUAUAAGAACAUUUUGCCUUAGAGAUGGCAUUAGCAACCAACCACGUAUAGCCAAGAGGUAGCUGUUUCUGCUAGCACCAAUCACAAGUCUGGCAAAACAACUUAUGUGAUUUAUCUCUUUUUGCCUUUGUAAACCCUUGCCUCUUUUGUCUUCUUUGGAGCCACGUUUCCGGUUUCUGUCUGAAUCUCUGUCUCCUGAACUGCAAUUCUAAUUGUACAAAUAAAUAUCUGCUGUUUGAAUUGUAG
rnacentral:lncRNA from 1 species